rnacentral:rRNA from 1 species
GUAGGUGGCAAGCGUUGUCCGGAAUUAUUGGUCGUAAAGCGCGCGCAGGUGGGUUCUUUAAGUCUGAUGUGAAAGCCCCCGGGCUCAACCGGGGAGGGUCAUUGGAAACUGGGGAACUUGAGUGCAGGAGAGGAAAGUGGAAUUCCACGUGUAGCGGUGAAAUGCGUAGAUAUGUGGAGGAACACCAGUGGCGAAGGCGACUUUCUGGCCUGUAACUGACACUGAGGCGCGAAAGCGUGGGGAGCAAACAGGAUUAGAUACCCUGGUAGUCCACGCCGUAAACGAUGAGUGCUAAGUGUUGGGGGGUUUCCGCCCCUCAGUGCUGCAGCUAACGCAUUAAGCACUCCGCCUGGGGAGUACGGUCGCAAGACUG